UUAGCUUCUUUAUCAGUUUCGACCUGAUUAUUUUAUAGCUAAC
rnacentral:tRNA from 1 species